rnacentral:tRNA from 1 species
GAGGGUAUAGCUCAAAGUGGUAUAGUGCAUGCUUAGCAUGCACAAGGUCCUGGGUUCAAUCCCCAGUACCUCCU